rnacentral:lncRNA from 1 species
GGGAGGGGCAGCAGAAUACCGAUCGACAGAAGGUGUUUGCACAGGUCGGUCUGCUAUGCUUCCCUCUUCUCUGGUGUUUGUGUGCUGUGUGAUUUUCCUUGCGAGAUAAAUUCCCUCCCGAAUUUUCCUGUUGAAAAGAAAACGACAUGUAGAUCAGGUAAGGGGGUGCCAAAAAAAAAAUAAAGCCUGCAUAGGAUUGGUUGUGUGGAAGAUAACAAAAAGUGUGAAAGAAAAUUUCUGAAGGAAAAAGGUGCCUCAAAAGAAACACAUAUUUUCAUUCUUGUGAAGGUGUAGAUCUAGCUUGUGUGCUUGUGAAACAUAUAUAUGAAAAAAAAACCUUAGUGCAGAUUGAUUAUAUUUUGUGAUUUCAGACUCUGAAAAAGUUGCUUCUCUCAUCAUACUUAGCAGAAUGUGUUUGAAACAAGAGAAACAUCAACAGAUGGGGUACAAAAGGCCAUUCUGGCCAGGUUUCCAUUGAGUGCAUGAAGGUAGC